AAAUAUUUUGGGUUUUUUUUUCCUAAUGCCUCACAAAACAGUGAAAAAAGAACCCCUGGCCCCUAAAGCUUUUCUGCUUAAUGCACUUCCUUGACCUUUUCAAGUACUUUGUGCUUUUGCAAGGAUAUAAACCUGGAUAUUUUAUGUAUUUUGUGUUGCUGAACUAACUGGAAAAUUUGGGGGUUUGAGAGAUAGGAACUUUGAUGAUAAAUGCAUUUUGCCCUUGUAAAACUUCAUCUGUAUUCUCUGUGCUGGGCACUCCUGAAGGAGAAAUUCAGUAUGAAGAGAGGUCUUGUGACAGUUUUGCCCUUAGAAACCCUUAGAAGCACAGGAGAGGAAGAAUUAAAGGAAAGAGCUGCAGUGUGCAAAGUCUGAAGAAUUAACAUCAGUCCCUUUUUCAUACAGUGGAAAGAAAAGAGUUGACUGGAAGAAGAAAUCUUUCCUGUGCUACUGGUGGAGAAGUACAGACCAUAUCUGAGACCUAGAUAGGGCCUCUCAAGCAGCAGAAGUGUACCCCACUGCAGAAGCUUUCUGGGCUGUGAUCAGUGGUCUGAAACACUGUUUAAGAAAUUGUCAACAAAAUAUGUAUUCAGUUAGUUCAUCUGCAAACUUCAAGUGUAUUUGAUAAAGCCCAUAUAGUGCAAUUCAGAAGUAUUCUUAAGCUUAACCUUAUAUUAAUUAAAAACAGGCAUCAUGGUGGAGUAUACUGCAUGUAGUGGACAGCAUGUACUAUCUGCAUAAAUGACUGAAAACUUUGCUACUGGCAUUUACUUGCUCUUUUACUUUAUGCCAAAUUUUAUUUUUGCUGUUUUUUUUUUUUCCUAGUGAAAUGAGUGGGUAGAAACCUUUUGCUGAAUAUUUCCACCCAUGUUUUUAUUCAUUGUGUGAAAAUAAUGUUACACUGUUACCAAAACAAAAAAAAACCCCUCAGGUUGUAGGCAUAUAUUGUAAUAUCAUUGGCAUUUUUUUCCUGUAAGCAUGACAGUGGAUGCAAAGGUGUGUAUUUAGCUUGAGAAGGGAUAUAGUUGCUUUCUAAAAUAAAUGCUGUUUAUGAAAGUUUAUUACAAAUUGUCUACAGGAGAAUGAACAUGCAAGGAUCAGGGUAUAUAAUGUUUUCUUUGAAACGCACCUUUGGUAAAUGUUUUUUAACAGUUGCUAAUCUGUUUCCUGCCUAGGAAACCAAGGAAGUCAAAGAGAAAAGAAGAUUAUGGACAUAUUUGUUAUUCAAUGCUGUGUUGUUUCUCCGACUUCCAUCUCCUACGCAGUCAGAAACUCUGCAGGAAAGGGAUAUGUGACUUGUGUUGAAAACUUUCAGAUUUCCUGUUUCUCUGGGCAUGUAGGCUUCUAGCUGAGCAGGUUAACCUUUACUGCUGGGCCGUCUCUCUCCAUAUUUUCCUUUGUCCUGGAAAAUUUUUGGUCUCCAUUAUUCCUGACCAUCCUGGACAGUUGGCAAUCUCUUCCUUCCAGGCUGACAAUACCAGCAGUGCAGUGCUAUGUGCAAGUCCCUUUGAAUUCUGCUGUCAGUUGCAUUUCUUGUGAAUAAAGUGUUUCAGAAUUCCAGGGAGUCCUGAAUAUAAACGUAUCAAUUAUGUGUCAACACAACAGCAUCUGUCCUUGAAAUUGGGUAUCAGUUUAUUUGGCAUCAGCAUGGCAAAGAUUUGGCUGACAGCCAGAGUGAAAUAUUCCAGCAAAAGCUGCUGCAACAGAAGCCAUCUCAGAAGCAAUUCGCUGAAAUUCAGGGUGAUGCUCUAACAUCAUCUUUUAGUAAAUUCUUAAGACAUGAGGGACCUUAAGCAAAAAACCUUUCAUGUUCCACGUUCUUGCCUCCUAUUAUUUCUUUUUCAUGUCCAAUUUUUUUUGUUAUUCUUCUCUUAAAAAAGAUGCAUACAAGGUUCUGGGAUGUAUAUAUCCUGUGAUUUAAUAUCCUUUUUUGGCUUUCUGCUUAUUUCAGUGUUGUUUACAUAAAAGUUCCAAAUGAAUGCAAGCAGUGAUGCUUGGGAAAACGUUGCUUUAGUAUGAAAGAGGCAAGGCUCUCAAAACAGGAGAGUAAGAAAUUGCCCCUUGUAAAAGAUGUGUGUUCUGGAGGUUUUGUAUAUUUUUUUCUUUUCUGAAAAACUUUGUCUCUUCCUUGCUUUUUUUCCUAGAUCUUUAGAUCUUUUUCUAAGAUUUAAGUAAGUUUUGCAUUCUCAAAGAUGUGAAUAAGUCAAAAAAGUAAUUUCAGAAAUUUAGGAAACCCCAAGUCCGUAACACUCUCCGUUUGUCACGGACAUAACUGCCGUGGUUGAGUGAGCACGUCAGCAUACCUGUGGGAAAUGGGGAACUCAGAUCACUUUGUUUUUAUGGAUGAUCUGUAUCAUACUUGAAGGAGGUGAAGAGGAAACUCUUCGAUCUAAUGGUAUAGCUUGUAAUAGUCACCUGGUUGAUUCUGAUACCUGUUUAAAAACAAAACCAGGAUGAGUUGGAAAGGAGAAAAUACAGCAGAAAGGCUCAGUAUCAUGUAGCAUAUCAAGGUGUUUAUCUCGUGCCUUUUAACUGACUGGGCUCCAAACAGUCCCUAUCCCUUCAUCAAAAUAAAGUUUUUCACUUGGGUGCUAAAAAACCGUAAUUUCUAGGAAAGCAUUAAGAACAAUAAGGGAUAAAAGUAGCUGGGAAAAAAUACACAUUGGAUUUUCAGUUCUGGAGGAAAAGCUUGUAGAAUAAAGAUGAACUGGGUUUUUUUAAAGGUUUGUAUGUUUUGGUGUUUUUCUGGGCUCUUCCCCUUCUCCUUGAGGUUUUAAGUCCUAUGAAGUUGAGUUUUUCUCAGAGGGGAGAGAACAAUGAAAGGGAGGGAGAUCUAUCGUAUAUUCUGCAUUUAAAAUGGGCUGGUUUCUCUUUGGCAGAAAAUAAAUAGUAAAUAGUGGAUUAGCUCUUAACUUUGUACUCUCAAAAGAAAUCACAAUUCUAGAGUUAAGUAAUGAAACCUCUUUAGGAAAAUCAAUGUUACCUGUAUCCAAGCUCAAUUUAUUCAAGAGGUCAGCUUUGUUGCUGCCCCGGCAUGGCUUGAGUGUAAUGAUUAACAACCUCUUAAUGACUGUUCAUGUAACUUCCAUCUGGUAUUUUAUAUAAGCGCAAGCCAAGAUGGUAACAGAAUGCUGUAGUAAAGCAGUAUGUGCUAUUCGGGGGAAAAUCUCCUUCCAAAUCCUGUAUGCAGCAUGCAUCAGCCCCAGUGAAACUGAGAGAAGCCCAUUAAGAAAUCCGAUUAGCUGUCUGCUCUCUAGAUCUGGUGUCCCUUCCAUAUCUAUAGUUGUUCAUGUCCAUGGAGAGACCUGGCUGAAACCUGUGGAGCACUGCAAUAGCAAUCAAGAUGAGUUGCCAAAUGGGAACUGAACUUUUCAUCAGCUCUUGCCACAUAAAUAUAGUCCUGAAUCUUUUGAAGAUGUCAUCUGUUGGUAGUUCCUUCCCAUCGAUGUUUGUUCAUCUUCUAUUCCUUUUACUCAGAGGAGGUGAAUUUAGACUGCAGCCGUUUUGAUAGCUGGGGUUUCUUAAUUGUUGUAUGUUUUCUGCUUGUGGGUUCCAUCAAGUUACUGUGAUCUCAGCCAUGCUUUGUACCUUAUUUUGUAUUUAAUUCUGUACUUGGUGUUGUGAAAUAUUUUAAUACUGUGUCAUUUCUGUUUAGGUUUAUGAACAAUUUUGAACUGUUUUUAGCAUCCUCAGCUGAUUGAAACUUCAGUGUGCCCUCAAGGAAAGUGAGGUGAUACCUAUGGUACAGCACAGUAGAUAAGAGGUUAUGCUUCUCUCUUCCCCUUCUCAGAAAUCUGCUUUGCAAGUUGUAGUUCUAGUUUCAAAUCUCGGUUGAUUUGUGAAAUGAAAUCUCACUUCUCUGUGGGGAAAAGAGGGGUAAGCAAUGGCUGAUGGACUCUGUCAUAGGAGGAGUAAGCAGAUCUGGUACCUCCAGCCCUUUGUAGGAAAAAGAUGGUUCUCAGAGUCCACCCGAGAGUGGAGGUGGUGUAUCCUGUCCUCAUCUUGAAGUGCACAGAACAUGUUUGUUGAUUCUCUUGGGUUUUGGAGAUUCAUGCUCAGAAGCAUUAUUCUAAAUAAUACCAAUAACUUGGUAUUAUUUAGAAUAUUUAGGUUUUGGUCUGGUUAGUAAGAGGCUCUGUUAAACCACUGCUGGGUUUUCUGCUCAGAUAUUUGGUUUAUCCCUCCCACUGUGUUGAACCUCCAUUACUUUUCUUAGUCUUGUCUAUUCUUCCCGAUUCAAAUUAGUUGCAGUUUUGGAGGAAAUUGACAUUUUCCUUGUCUUUACACUUCCACCAGAAAUUCAAAGGAUGAAAUUCUCCUUCUUCACUCUCAGGAGUGAAGUGCAAUUUUAUAGUACCAUCAGAUUAAAUACUGGGGUCACUAAUCUACUCCUUGCACCACAGUUCUUGUAUAGAGGAACAGCUUAUUUGGAGCAGUAUUUGCAGAACCAUUUCAGUACAUCUCACUCGCUAUUUCCAAGUCAGUACUGCAACCUUAUAUAAGCCAGUCUCCAUCCACUUAACUCCAGGACAAAUGUGGUGAUUAAUAUUUAUAUAAAAGCUUUCAUGUUUCCACAGUGAAAUUGUCUCACUUUGAAAAGAAAAGGUGUCUUUUUCCCUGUUGACUUGGUGUGGAAAAAAACUUGCAAAGGCUUCCAGCAGCACAGCAUCCAAGACAGGCAUCAGCAGAAGAACGGAGGUCAUCUUUAAUUCGGUAUUUCAUUUUGUGAAAUUGCCUAUUCCAAGAGAAAUAAAACAUUUACAUGUAUAUUAACCAGUGUUUGCCAGCUCUUGGAAUAAAGCCAGUUCUCUCAGGGCCAAACAAACGCUGAGUGAAUGAGUAAUAAUCUGCAAUUGUCACUCCUAAUUUAUGGAUGAGUAGAUAGAGCAAUGUUUGCCAUUUUAAGUUGUCCUAUUUGCUUGAAAGACUAGAAAUCAUGAUUAGCUGUUGGCUUGGAGUAUCAAUAGCAUGUCUGUUUAUAGCUGAUUUACUCAGGGUAGCUGUUGCAAAAGUUCAAGACCUCCGCACAUGAUAAGAAGUAAUUUUGAAAGAAGAUGAGAACACAUGAAGGUUACAGAUGUUUUGGGACAGUAAUUUGGAAUCCGCAGCCAGAAGCUGAAGGAUAAAUGGCAUCUCUUCUUUAUAAAUGACAUGCAAGGUCUCCCUGUGCCUCGUUUAUUUUCUGAGGAAAUCUGUAUCGUCAUGUUAAGAGAAAAUGUAAAAUUCCAUGGAUUCCCAAGAUAAUGUCUGUAUUGGCUUUUGUUGUUGAUAAGUAAGAAGAGAGCAUACUACUGAUUGUCUUACAAUGAUGUUUCCUGUCUCUGAGCCUUUCUAUUUGCCUAAUUUGCCAACAAAUGCAGUUAAAAGCAGUUUUGGAAACUUUGUUUUACAUAUUCAUGAGCGUGCUUUUGUCAUGAACUUAACAACAAUGUUGCGUUGAUUGGGGUGAAUAAAAACAGCAAUCAAACU